UAAUACUGCUAAUGUUUCCUGUG
rnacentral:miRNA from 1 species